UUUUUCGAAGGUGAAUAGGUGAUGGUAUGUAAAGUUGCUUAACAAGAUUAAUCUUAUCUUUGCAAGCUUGUGCUUGAAGGGUUUUUACAAUUUUCGUCAAAUAGUAGCUGUAGAAGCCCAAAUUUACCCGGCCCACCAGAGAAAAUAAAACAAAUAAAUCAACCAAACCCAAAAAAUUCAAGCCCAAUAAUACAAAAACAACAAGCCCAAAAUAUAAAAAAGAAAAGAGGCCCGAUUGGCCCAAAACCUAAACUCUUUAGCAGAAACCCUAGUGCCCACUAACCCUAGGUGCGCCGCACCUAGGGUCUUCUGACCCCUAGCCUUCUGCCACCGCCGCGCCACCUACUCUGCCACCAACUCUGCCGCCGCUCGUCAACCGCCUGCAAGAAAUUAAGGCAGAAGUGACAAGCACAAAAUAGACUAAAAAAAUCAUGUAAAAAUGGCUAUAAAGCCAUAGCAAAUCACUUGUACCUGGGUUCCCCCCUCUCUUUUACUAGAAUCAGAAAUAAAAGAAAGAACUUUCGAGGUUUUUUUUUGGGUCUUUCGGUUUCAUAGAUCUAUUUUUUUUCUCUGUUGAUUAUUUUCUUUUACGCAUAUAUAUGUAAACAAAAGUAGUAAAAUAUAAAAAAAAGAGAACCUUAUCUACGCCGCGCCGGAGGAGGAGAAGGCGAGCGGUGUCGCCCCGUCUUUGUUUUCUUUCGCGGGAUUCGGCCUUGGAUCCAUGGCUUAAAGGCAAUCGGCUUCAAAAAGGGACCAAAAAGGUCCGAUUUUGCACCUCCGGCCGCCACUCACGGUGGCGCUACAGCGGAGGCACGCUGGAACCCUAGGCCGGACCAUGGCCGGAUUGGAGGCCUGAGAGAGAGAGCUCUCUGUUGUUUUUUU
rnacentral:lncRNA from 1 species